UGACGAGCGGCGGACGGGUGAGUAAUGUCUGGGAAACUGCCUGAUGGAGGGGGAUAACUACUGGAAACGGUAGCUAAUACCGCAUAACGUCGCAAGACCAAAGUGGGGGACCUUCGGGCCUCAUGCCAUCAGAUGUGCCCAGAUGGGAUUAGCUAGUAGGUGGGGUAAUGGCUCACCUAGGCGACGAUCCCUAGCUGGUCUGAGAGGAUGACCAGCCACACUGGAACUGAGACACGGUCCAGACUCCUACGGGAGG
rnacentral:rRNA from 1 species